rnacentral:rRNA from 1 species
GGAUUAGAUACCCUGGUAGUCCACGCCGUAAACUAUGGAUACUAGGUGUUUGGGGAAUGAACCCUCUGAGUACUACAGCUAACGCAUUAAGUAUCCCGCCUGGGAAGUACGGUCGCAAGGCUAAAACUCAAAGGAAUUGACGGGGGCCCGCACAAGCGGUGGAGUAUGUGGUUUAAUUCGAAGCAACGCGCAGAACCUUACCUACCCUUAACAUCCCAGGACAACCUCAGAGAUGAGGCUUUCUCUUCGGAGACUUGGUGAUAGGUGCUGCAUGGCUGUCGUCAGCUCGUGCCG